GCGCCCGUGGUGUAACGGAUAACACAGCGGUCUUCGGAACCGUUAAUGUGGGUUCGAUUCCUGCCGGGCGUACCA
rnacentral:tRNA from 1 species